rnacentral:lncRNA from 10 species
GGACCUUGUAAGGCUGACUUUGGAAUAUGACUGCAUUCUGAUGGAGAGAUUUCCAGUUUAAGAUGCCAUACUGAACAUAUACACUGAUCUCUUUGCCUUUGGAAACUCCAUUAAGCUGAUUGUAAAGGAGGAAAAGGAUUCUCACAUGACAAUGAAGAGACUGAAGAAGUAUCAUCAAUGGAUAAAGCAGAAUAGAAAUAGCAGCCGCCUGGACCAUACCUAGAAAGGAAUCAUUUUGCCUGGCAGAAGCAUGAAACAGUUCCAUAUUUGAGAUGGCAUUUACCACUGAGGAAAGGAACUCAAGGGUGUAUUUCAGCAAAAUAAAGAAGUAAAGUACUAGAGCCAUCACUCAGAGAGCAAAUGACCAGACCAGAUGCUAACAACAAACAUUGUGUGACUUCCUAUCUCCAGCCACUUCUGAAGUCAGAUCUAUUUUCUUGAGUAAGUAAUUUUUUUCCAAGUUUGGGUUGUUUUUCAUACCAUUUGGAACCAAGAGUUCUGGUAGUCACAAUAAUGUUUGGAGAUACUAGAUGGACUGUAAAAGCAGAAUCUCUAUGUACGUUCUCCGCUGAACAGCACGGGAAUUGGUGCCACAGAGAAAGAAAUGUGAUCCUACCAAACCAGUUAGCUCAAGAGCAAUGCUUAGGUAGCCAUAGCAAUUUAAACUGUUUAUUGAUUUAAAAUUUUUAGAAGUCACUGAGACCUUUAUAGUCAGAGAAAUUGUCAACCUUGACAAGUAUAAAGGUAAAUGUACAUGUAACCAAAGUCGGGAAGUGAAAGAGAGUGAAGAAAGGUAGGUAAGGUAGACAGAGGGCAGGAAAGCCCAUGUCCUCAUCUCCCAAAGCAGGUAGUGAAGAGAUCUGCCCUGUGAAGACCAGAAUAAGAAUUGGAGGUACACUUAACAGUCCCUGCCAUGUCAUCAACAAAUGGUGUUGAGAACACAUUGUAGGAAGGGAAAUGCUUACAUUCAUAGAAAUACAGAAGCCAUAUGAUUUUUAAAUAUCAUUUCAGAAGUUCAAAAAUAAGUCUACAAACUCAUGUGAUGGAUAUUAGGUCUAUUCCUAAGUAGUCUCAUACUAUAGAUGGAAUUUGUGCUUGGCGUCUUUUUCCCUUUUUAGGAACAUUUGGUCCACAGUGCAGUUCAAAAAAAAAAAAAAAUGGGUAAAGGACCAAAGCAGGCAGUUCAUGCAGGCAAACCCACACAUUCACAAAAGGUGAAAAUAUAAAAAUAAAAAUGUUAAAUAUUACCAGGAAUCAAAGAAAUGCAAAAUAAAAUAUCAAAAUAGGAUCAUUUUAAUUUGGAUUAUCAGAGAUUAAAAAGAUUGGAGAACCACACUGGUAGCAAGGCUGUAGAGAAGUUGGCACUUUCAUAAUCAGCUGGUGGUAGAAGAAGGACUGAAAACUUUCUGGAGGGAAGUUUACGAGUAAAUGUCAAAAUUAUGCAUAUUUUUUGGUAUAGCAAAUCUAACUCUAGGAAUGUACUUUAAGGUUAACAUUGGAUAAAUGUACAAAGAUGCAAGUUCAAGAAUACUUUUUGAAACUUUGUUUACAAUAUCCAGAAAUUAAAACUAUUUAAGAAUUCAUCCAGACAAAAUUAGAUAAAUAAAUUAUGUAACACAUAAAAAUGAAUGGUGCAGGUCUAAAUUGGUUGACAUGGAAAAUGUCUACAUUCUGUUGCUUAGUAUAUAUAAUACGACUUUAUUUUUGUGGAGGGGAAGAAGGAAAUGUUUAUGUAGCUGUGUACAUAGUGAAAACUCUGGAAAUACAUGUCUCAGAGCCAUGAGUACCAAGGUGGGGCUUGGUGCCAUGGUCUGCCCUGGAAGCAGAUAAAAAAAGCGGUGCAAUGUCUACGGUAUAUUUGUAAAUAGUAGUAAUUCUCACUAAAAGUUGGUCUUCUCUUUAUUAUCACCAUGUCCAGAAAAUCUA